AGCAGCCGCGGUAAUUCCAGCUCCAAUAGCGUAUAUUAAAGUUGCUGCAGUUAAAAAGCUCGUAGUUGAAUUUCGGGACCAUCAUGUCGGUCGUGCCUCGGUACGUACUGGCAUUGUUGGUUUCUACCUUCUGACGAACCAUGAUGUCAUUUAUUUGGUGUCGUGGGAAAUCAGGACUGUUACUUUGAAAAAAUUAGAGUGUUUAAAGCAGGCUCACGCUUGAAUACAUUAGCAUGGAAUAAUGAAAUAGGACGUUUGAUUCUAUUUUGUUGGUUUCUAGGAUCGACGUAAUGAUUAAUAGGGAUAGUUGGGGGCAUUAGUAUUCAAUUGUCAGAGGUGAAAUUCUUGGAUUUAUUGAAGACUAACUACUGCGAAAGCAUUUGCCAAGGAUGUUUUCAUUAAUCAAGAACGAAAGUUAGGGGAUCGAAGACGAUCAGAUACCGUCGUAGUCUUAACCAUAAACUAUGCCGACUAGGGAUCGGAUGAUGUU
rnacentral:rRNA from 1 species